rnacentral:lncRNA from 1 species
GAGGAGAAUUUUGUAAAAGUUAACGACGACGGACGACGACGGAUGACGACGACGGACGACGACGGACGCCAAGUGAUGAGAAAAGCUCACUUGGCCCUUCGGGCCAGGUGAGCUAAAAAGAAGAAAAAACAAACACACAAAUAACUACAUAAAACUCAACAUAGAAAAAUAAAGACUAAGCAACACGAACCCCACCAAAAACUGAGGGUGAUCUCAUGAAUCGUAUAAUGAAUCGUAUAUUAUUAAAAAAAGGAGAAAUUCUUUGCAUUUAUGUUUUUUACAGGGAGAAAGACUGUAAAGGAAAAGAACGAAAACACAAGAGG